AGGCGUCGACCAUGCCCAUGUGUUUCAACGGAGCUAGGAGCUCAUACUUCUCUUCCACUUUGAACCGAGGCAAAGAUAAAUACAACUCGACCAUAUGCAUGUUUUCUGGUCUUGUCCACUCUAGUAACUUAUCAGCAGUGAGUUGUUCUUCAAGCUAUAAAAGUGGAAGAAAAGAGAUUGCCAUGAUUAACUGAAAUACGUGUCUUAUUUGAAUUUGAUACAUCAGGAAGAAAUCGGAUAAUAGAAGGAAGAAAUGAAGACACAAGCCUUACCUUCUUCAGACCUUCAAUUUCCACUGGCAGCAGGACAAACAUACUUAGCUCUUUGCCUUUGUAUGGUAUUUCCACAAUCUUGGUUUGCACAUUCUCCAGAAAGAUGAAAUUAAAUUUGUUUCUUUGUUUCAUCAUUUGGACAGGUUUACUUGUAUUCUGCAAUAAAUCAGGAUGUCAAAAGCAUAUCAAGGGAGACACAGGAAAGGACAGAUAAUAUUUUACCAAUACAAAACACAUCAACAUCCUUCAGAGAUGAACCUGAUGCUUUGUGAAUCCAGACAAAAGUUUUUUCAGUUACUCCUAUUCAUGUGAGGUUAUAAAAAUAGAACACAUGUUUUAUUUUAUUUUUGACUUCCAUGGCAUUAUUUAUACUUAAACUACCCACACAUCAGAUUUUUCAUUAUGUAAAUAAACUUCCAAUAGUACCUUGUUCAG